GCGAACCCCGGUCAGGCGGGACUA
rnacentral:rRNA from 1 species